rnacentral:misc_RNA from 1 species
GCUCUCAUUUUAUUCUUAACUGAUUGAAGUUUAAUUCAAUCAUUCAAGUUAAACACAAGGUCUAUGUUUUCUCCUAUAUAGUUGUAUGUAUGCAUCUGUUGCUGUGAAAAAUAUAUGCUGUCCAAGCAAAGUCAUACCUAGUGAGCACUUGCAACUUUAUGUUGAAGGGAAGACUUACUGUUUAGCGCUUUUGUUUUAAGGACUGAUCAAGUGAAGUUCGAAAUUUACAUGCUUCUCAGUUCUCAUUAUGCUUAGUUGCUAAUCAAUUUCCUAUUUAAUUUGCUACUCUUUCGUGUCUCUUAAAUGUUUUAUGAGCAAUUAAAUAAGAAAUAAUCUGUCACUGCGAGUAGAUAACAAGAAUUAACUCCGAGAAUAAGAUGUGCUAUACAUAUUGAUGAGCCCAGUGAUGGUUGAUUUAAUGCAUACUGUAGAAAUGAUGAAUGUUCUAAAGUUUAAUUAUUUGUAGUUUGGAGGGAAUCACUCAUUAUAAUUUUUAAGCAUCAAGUGAGCAAGUAUAUUUAUUCCAUGUCAAACAUGUUUCGGUCAGGUGCAAUAUGUGGUCAUUCCUUUUGCUGAACUAAAAAACUACGGAUCUUUAACACAAUCUUGUUCUUGAAUCAUGCAAUUACUUAACAGGUGCAGCUAUUCAUUUAUUUUA